AGCGCAUACGGUGGAUGCCUUGGCAGUCAGAGGCGAUGAAAGACGUGGUAGCCUGCGAUAAGCUUCGGGGAGUCGGCAAACAGACUUUGAUCCGGAGAUCUCUGAAUGGGGGAACCCACUCAGCAUAAGCUGAGUAUCUUGUACUGAAUACAUAGGUGCAAGAGGCGAACCAGGGGAACUGAAACAUCUAAGUACCCUGAGGAAAAGAAAUCAACCGAGAUUCCCUUAGUAGUGGCGAGCGAACGGGGACUAGCCCUUAAGUGGCUUUGAGAUUAGCGGAACGCUCUGGAAAGUGCGGCCAUAGUGGGUGAUAGCCCUGUACGCGAAAAUCUCUUAGUCAUGAAAUCGAGUAGGACGGAGCACGAGAAACUUUGUCUGAAUAUGGGGGGACCAUCCUCCAAGGCUAAAUACUACUGACUGACCGAUAGUGAACCAGUACCGUGAGGGAAAGGCGAAAAGAACCCCGGAGAGGGGAGUGAAAUAGAUCCUGAAACCGUAUGCGUACAAGCAGUGGGAGCCUACUUUGUUAGGUGACUGCGUACCUUUUGUAUAAUGGGUCAGCGACUUAUAUUCAGUGGCGAGCUUAACCGAAUAGGGGAGGCGUAGCGAAAGCGAGUGUUAAUAGCGCGUUUAGUCGCUGGGUAUAGACCCGAAACCGGGCGAUCUAUCCAUGGGCAGGUUGAAGGUUAGGUAACACUGACUGGAGGACCGAACCGACUACCGUUGAAAAGUUAGCGGAUGACCUGUGGAUCGGAGUGAAAGGCUAAUCAAGCUCGGAGAUAGCUGGUUCUCCUCGAAAGCUAUUUAGGUAGCGCCUCAUGUAUCACUGUAGGGGGUAGAGCACUGUUUCGGCUAGGGGGUCAUCCCGACUUACCAAACCGAUGCAAACUCCGAAUACCUACAAGUGCCGAGCAUGGGAGACACACGGCGGGUGCUAACGUCCGUCGUGAAAAGGGAAACAACCCAGACCGUCAGCUAAGGUCCCAAAGUUAUGGUUAAGUGGGAAACGAUGUGGGAAGGCUUAGACAGCUAGGAGGUUGGCUUAGAAGCAGCCACCCUUUAAAGAAAGCGUAAUAGCUCACUAGUCGAGUCGGCCUGCGCGGAAGAUGUAACGGGGCUCAAACCAUACACCGAAGCUACGGGUGUCACUUAGGUGACGCGGUAGAGGAGCGUUCUGUAAGCCUGUGAAGGUGAGUUGAGAAGCUUGCUGGAGGUAUCAGAAGUGCGAAUGCUGACAUGAGUAACGACAAUGGGAGUGAAAAACUCCCACGCCGAAAGACCAAGGUUUCCUGCGCAACGUUAAUCGACGCAGGGUUAGUCGGUCCCUAAGGCGAGGCUGAAAAGCGUAGUCGAUGGAAAACAGGUUAAUAUUCCUGUACUUCUAGUUAUUGCGAUGGAGGGACGGAGAAGGCUAGGCCAGCUUGGCGUUGGUUGUCCAAGUUUAAGGUGGUAGGCUGAGAUCUUAGGUAAAUCCGGGAUCUUAAGGCCGAGAGCUGAUGACGAGUUGCCUUUAGGCGACGAAGUGGUUGAUGCCAUGCUUCCAAGAAAAGCUUCUAAGCUUCAGAUAACUAGGAACCGUACCCCAAACCGACACAGGUGGUUGGGUAGAGAAUACCAAGGCGCUUGAGAGAACUCGGGUGAAGGAACUAGGCAAAAUGGCACCGUAACUUCGGGAGAAGGUGCGCCGGUGAGGGUGAAGGACUUGCUCCGUAAGCCCAUGCCGGUCGAAGAUACCAGGCCGCUGCGACUGUUUAUUAAAAACACAGCACUCUGCAAACACGAAAGUGGACGUAUAGGGUGUGACGCCUGCCCGGUGCCGGAAGGUUAAUUGAUGGGGUUAGCUAACGCGAAGCUCUUGAUCGAAGCCCCGGUAAACGGCGGCCGUAACUAUAACGGUCCUAAGGUAGCGAAAUUCCUUGUCGGGUAAGUUCCGACCUGCACGAAUGGCGUAACGAUGGCGGCGCUGUCUCCACCCGAGACUCAGUGAAAUUGAAAUCGCUGUGAAGAUGCAGUGUAUCCGCGGCUAGACGGAAAGACCCCGUGAACCUUUACUAUAGCUUUGCACUGGACUUUGAAUUUGCUUGUGUAGGAUAGGU
rnacentral:rRNA from 1 species